UGGCGGCGUGCCUAAUACAUGCAAGUCGAACGAACUCUGGUAUUGAUUGGUGCUUGCAUCAUGAUUUACAUUUGAGUGAGUGGCGAACUGGUGAGUAACACGUGGGAAACCUGCCCAGAAGCGGGGGAUAACACCUGGAAACAGAUGCUAAUACCGCAUAACAACUUGGACCGCAUGGUCCGAGUUUGAAAGAUGGCUUCGGCUAUCACUUUUGGAUGGUCCCGCGGCGUAUUAGCUAGAUGGUGAGGUAACGGCUCACCAUGGCAAUGAUACGUAGCCGACCUGAGAGGGUAAUCGGCCACAUUGGGACUGAGACACGGCCCAAACUCCUACGGGAGGCAGCAGUAGGGAAUCUUCCACAAUGGACGAAAGUCUGAUGGAGCAACGCCGCGUGAGUGAAGAAGGGUUUCGGCUCGUAAAACUCUGUUGUUAAAGAAGAACAUAUCUGAGAGUAACUGUUCAGGUAUUGACGGUAUUUAACCAGAAAGCCACGGCUAACUACGUGCCAGCAGCCGCGGUAAUACGUAGGUGGCAAGCGUUGUCCGGAUUUAUUGGGCGUAAAGCGAGCGCAGGCGGUUUUUUAAGUCUGAUGUGAAAGCCUUCGGCUCAACCGAAGAAGUGCAUCGGAAACUGGGAAACUUGAGUGCAGAAGAGGACAGUGGAACUCCAUGUGUAGCGGUGAAAUGCGUAGAUAUAUGGAAGAACACCAGUGGCGAAGGCGGCUGUCUGGUCUGUAACUGACGCUGAGGCUCGAAAGUAUGGGUAGCAAACAGGAUUAGAUACCCUGGUAGUCCAUACCGUAAACGAUGAAUGCUAAGUGUUGGAGGGUUUCCGCCCUUCAGUGCUGCAGCUAACGCAUUAAGCAUUCCGCCUGGGGAGUACGGCCGCAAGGCUGAAACUCAAAGGAAUUGACGGGGGCCCGCACAAGCGGUGGAGCAUGUGGUUUAAUUCGAAGCUACGCGAAGAACCUUACCAGGUCUUGACAUACUAUGCAAAUCUAAGAGAUUAGACGUUCCCUUCGGGGACAUGGAUACAGGUGGUGCAUGGUUGUCGUCAGCUCGUGUCGUGAGAUGUUGGGUUAAGUCCCGCAACGAGCGCAACCCUUAUUAUCAGUUGCCAGCAUUAAGUUGGGCACUCUGGUGAGACUGCCGGUGACAAACCGGAGGAAGGUGGGGAUGACGUCAAAUCAUCAUGCCCCUUAUGACCUGGGCUACACACGUGCUACAAUGGAUGGUACAACGAGUUGCGAACUCGCGAGAGUAAGCUAAUCUCUUAAAGCCAUUCUCAGUUCGGAUUGUAGGCUGCAACUCGCCUACAUGAAGUCGGAAUCGCUAGUAAUCGCGGAUC
rnacentral:rRNA from 2 species